UUAGGAGUUCUUUUUAGAGUCCGACCCUUUCAUUUUCUUACACUGUGCACACACUUCUUUUUUACACACACUUUUAACACCUUAGUAUAAGAAUGUAAUAGUCUCUUAAUUGAGCAUAAAUAAAAACAAAACUUUCAGCAACGGAUCUCUUGGCUCUCGCAUCGAUGAAGAACGCAGCGAAUUGCGAUAAGUAAUGUGAAUUGCAGAAUUCAGUGAAUCAUCGAAUCUUUGAACGCACCUUGCACUCUUUGGUAUUCCGAAGAGUAUGUCUGUUUGAGUGUCAUGAAACUCUCAACCCCCCUAUUUUGUAAUGAGAUGGGUGUGGGCUUGGAUUAUGGUUGUCUGUCGGCGUAAUUGCCGGCUCAACUGAAAUACACGAGCAACCCUAUUGAAAUAAACGGUUUGACUUGGCGUAAUAAUUAUUUCGCUAAGGACGCUUUCUUCAAAUAUAAGAGGUGCUUCUAAUUCGCUUCUAAUAGCAUUUAAGCUUUAGACCUCAAAUCAGUCAGGACUACCCGCUGAACUUAAGCAUAUCAAUAAGCGAGGGAAAAAGAAAAAA
rnacentral:rRNA from 1 species